AGAUCCUGCACCUCAUCUCGUAACUCCACGUUACGGUCGUAUAACGUGUCAUACAUCUCAGCAUCAACGGUGUACCGUGGUAACUCCUCUUCUUCCUCUUCCACUUCCUCAACAAAUUCCUCCUCAGGAUCAGUCUUAGUUCAUGCUCCUGACCAACAACGGUGAUCAAUGGAGAUGAUUCCCUCUGCACCAGCUGCUCCCUAACGACAUGAAUGUCUCGGGGCUCCUCCUCUGUCGGUACUAUAGGUACACGGGGUUCUUCCUCCCCAGCUUGACUAGCUUCUCCAACAUUCGACAUCCUGACAACAAAAUUUUAAGUUUUAGUUACUAAGUCGUAUCAUCUAACGCAUACUUUAACAUAUAAACACAUAAGGUCUUUUAUUAUCUUCAAUGAAUUACAUAAAUUCAUUUCUUAUAACUCGAUAAGAGUUUUCCAUCACUAUCUUCUUUCUAUAAGGCUACUACCUAAGGUUGUUCCCCCACCUAAGGUUCAUAACCUACAGCUUUGAUACCAACUUGUGACACCUCCAAAUCCGGGUACUUCAAUUCCACGGGAUUUGGUGUUCACUGUACAAAUAUCAUCUAUCUAUCUACCCAUAAUAAAAGCAAAUCAUGCAAUAGAUAGAAAUAAAAUCUUCCCUUUAAAGGGUUAUAACAUCUGAAUCAUAAACAUCCCAGGUUAAACUAACUUUAAACAUCUGUGCGGAAAUAUAAAUAAUAAGUCUUAAAUAACAUCAUUAACUCAAGUCUAAUAUAAAUACAUCAUCAAACAAAAUAACAAGUCUUCACCAAUUGCUAACUUUGCCCUUACCUUUACUAGUGGAAGGUUCAUCGGUUCUUUCGUUCUUAACUGCAAUGUUAUUAUUAAGAAAGAGUGAGCACUAUUGCCCACAAGUAUAACAAUGAAAUAACAUUAUAAUAACAUGCGAGUAAAUCAAAGACAUCUGAAUAAAAGCUCAACUUUUGAAUCAAGAAUGAAUAACAAGAAUCAAAAGAAUUCUGAGGGUCAUAAAACCUUGAACUAUGUCCUAGGUUAUCAAGGGUUAUACUUGAAACCUUUAAUAGUCAUAAGAGUAUGGACCUUCUACUCGUACUUAGGGGGAUCAGCCCUUAGUACUAUACUGUGCACAAUAUAUUAACGCUAACGCAUAAGUAAAUCCCUUUGCAGGGUUGUUCAUCUCAGUUUGACAUUCGAGUCCGCACCAAAGGAAGUUUGGUUUGGAUAAUUCAUCAAGGGUUCUAAAAUUUAGAACGCUCAUCAACUAUGGACUAGUCGAAUCAAUAAGGGUUCGCUAGUCUAAUAAGGUUCAAUAAUAAUGAUAUUCAAAUUGAAUAAUAAUCUCAAGAAGUAUACAAUAGGACAAUUAUUGUAUAACUGAAUCAUGCUUUGAAAAGAUAAUCAAUCUUUAAUAUAACCUUUGAACUUGAAUAAUAGCAAUGAUAAUUUAAUCGAGGUAAAUAAUAAACUAGAACAAUAAUGACAAGUAGGGUUAGGAAACUUGCCUCGUGCGUAGAUUACACUUUAACUAAGCACGUUCUUUGAAUUAAAUCCUACAUAUAAUUCAUAUUCACAAUACCAGUUAAUUAUAACUUAACUAAUCAUCAUAAACUCAUUCUCUUUGUCUACUUUGAUUAUUUAACUAUAUUUAGUUAAUUUACCACUUUGUCACAUAAUUUAUACUUCAUGAAUAACAAGCUUAUUAUGUAUUCAAUAAUUUUAUCCACGUGUAAUUAUGUUAUUAACAUGUUAAACAACUCUUUUAUCAUCAUAUUAUACUUCUAACAUGUUUACAUGUUCAUUAAAUUAAUUUACUAACACAUUGUUAGACUUAAACAUUUUAAAAAGUACAUUUCUGAACUUUCUGGAGAGUGGCGCUGCGGCGCCACUUUUAUACUUGAUCUUCGCGCUGCGGCCGGACUCUUGGCGCUGCAGCGCCGUGGCACUUCUGCUCAAGACUUGGCGCUGUGGCGCGGGACUUCAGUUCUGGAGUUGGCGCCGCGGCGCGAAACUCCAGACUUUGAUUCCCAAUUCGCGAAGAACACAGUGUUCAGCGAAAAGGAUACUAAAUCAUCAUUAAUUUCACUAAAUUAACAUACCCACAUGCUACGAUUUAUACAUAAUCAUUACCCAACAAUAAUAGAACGAUUUUAAUCCAUUAAAACACAUAAUUACAGAAUUAAAAUCUAUAAUUUCACUGACUUUGAUGUUCUUGAAGGUUUUGAAAAUAAAACAUAAAAAUUGAUACUACGGAUUCGUUAUAACACCGAAUCCGUUCGUUUAAAGUUUGGUCUCUUCGUAUCAACAUGUAUAAUAAUAUACGAGUGUAAAAUUUAGGGAUAAUAUACGAUCAAUACAUAAAAUAUCACGUAUAAGGCCAUAAGGCAAAAACCCAUACUCUGUAAUUUUGUAGAAAUCAUAUACGAUGUAAUAUUAUGAAACUGAUGAUAGGGAACCAUCUAAUACAUAGAGAAACACAUUAAAACAACAUCUUAACACAUAUAUGUACAUAACUCAUACUCCUUUCGAUUUACAGAGACUUUACAGUAAACUUUGAAAACCAUGUUUAUGAAAACUCAAACAACGUAAAAACAUAAUUUGGUUUGGAGAAUUUACCCAGAGUAUAGAUUUAGAAGAGAUGAUAAGUGGUGAUCCUUUCACAAGUAUUUGUUACACACUCACAAUUUUCUUCACAAAAUCACAAUUUUCUCUCUGUGAACUCUAACUUUUGUUUUCCCGAUUAUCUAGACUUAGAAAUAAGAAUACGUAUAUAAUAUUAGAACUGACGCGUUGAGUGGUCAGUUAACCCAAUAAUGGGUAACUGCUCCAACUCCCCAUAGGGCCUUGUUUGGCUAGCAAAAUAGAUUUAAAAACCAAUUAAUUUAAUAAACUUUAUCAUAUAGUUUAAUUAACGUCACACUCCUUCAUAAAAUAAAUCAAUAUCUUAUUUAAUUUAUUUUAAAUAAAAUAUAAUAAUUUCUCAUAAAUUAACAUAGUCACAUAAUUAAUUUUUUCAUUAAUAAAUAAUGUCAAAUUAUUAACUCUCUAAUUAAUAAUUAAAUUAAUUAAAUAACAUCAUGCUUAAUUAAAUAUUUCAUUUAAUUCAAUAACAUCAUGCUUAAUUAAUCUACCAUAAUUGCAUCAACUAAUUAUUAAAUCUAAUAAUUAAAUCAUCAAAAAAUAUUUAUUUAAUUCAAUAAAUAUUAAAAUUAAUUUACAAAAAUCUCGUUUGUCACAUAAGCAAUGAAGCACAUGAGACCGUUGAGUCACUAACGAUCAAUACCCAGGAUAAUGUGCAAUAGGAAGACAAUAGUCCUCAGGUAAAUAAUAACACCGAUCAAAUGAUGAACGAUGGGGUGUUCAGAGGCUUUAUGCAAUUCAUGCAACAUCAGGCGAGAGCGGCUCCUAUUCAAAAUGCAGGUGGAAUCAUUAGCAACUCUCGGUUGGUCACCGCUAAACAGUUCAAGGAGCUGGGACCACCGUAGUUUAUUGGAGAGCCAAAACCACUUAAGGCAGAGACGUGGAUAAAGCAGAUCACCAAGAUAUUUGACGUCUUGGGAUGCUCCGAGGAGCAAAAGGUUCCCUUUGCCACCUUCAUGUUGCGAGGAGAGGCAGAUUACUGGUGGGAAUCUAUAAAGCGUACUCAACCUUCCACACUGAAGAUGUCUUGGGAGAAAUUCCAAGAACUGUUCAACGACAAGUACUUUCCCGAAAGUAUUCGUCACAUGAAGGAGGUAGAGUUUAUCAAGUUGGAGCAAAACAAUAUGACCAUGUCACAGUACGAAGCUAAGUUUGCCGAUUUUUUCGGGUUUGCGUCCCACAUGGUUGAUAAUGAGGAGAGAAUGAUGCGGAUGUUUCUAAGAGGUUUGAAACCUGAGAUACAUCAAUACUUAAUUUCUCACAAACUGUGUUUGUAUUCAGAUGUUGUAAAUAGGGCUCAGUUAUUGGAGCGCGAUAAUGAGUUAACCCAACCAAGAGAGAGCAGCCGGCAAAUUGAUAAUUCUAGUGGUAGUAGUCAUCGAAGUGGUGACAACAAACGUGGAGGGAAUCAACAUACCAGAAAUUGUAACCACUUCGGUGGUAAUCAUGGCCAAGAUAAUAGAAGUGGAAAUUUCAAGAAGAGGAAAUUCAAUAAUGAUGGAAAGACGUCAGCACCAACACCUAUUGUUAAGGAAGGAGAACAACUGUCGGUCGUAAGUUAAAAAUGCGGAGGGGAGGGACACAUCAGUCCAAAUUGUACGCAGCAGUCCAAGGCAUGUUACAAUUAUAGAAGAGAAGGUCACCUAGCCCGAUUUUGUUGUGCACCAAAGUCAAGUCCCGCUGGGAUGGAGGCAUCAAAGGCCGUCCCAGACAAGACAAAACCGGUAGUUCAAGGGAGAGCGUUUGUCGUAACCUCCCAAAAAGUGAGGAAUCUGAACGAGGUGAUAACGAGUAAGUUAAUCAUCAACUCUAGCGAAGUAUAUACCUUAUUUGAUACCAAUUCUACCUAUUCUUUUAUUUAUCCUACUUGCGCUCAACGUUUAAAUUGAACUCCGGAGAAAUUAGACUUUGAUUUAUCUGUUGAAACUCCGUUGGGAGAAACCUUCAUUACAUCCACUGUUUAUAAGUCCUGUUUGGUUCAAAUCGGUACUCGUACAUUACCCAUCGAUCUUAUUUCCUUUAAAAUACUUGCAUUUGAUGUGAUUUUAGGGAUUGAUUGGUUAACUACUCAUCAUGCUAAAAUUGAUUAUUUUCGUAAGGUUGUUAGCUUUCAUAUUCCUAACCAACCUAUUAUGAGAAUUCAAGCAACCAAACCACUAAAGUCAAUCAAUGUCAUAUCAAGCCAUAAAGAUAUUCAUUUAUUGAAAAAUAGAUGUCAAGCUUUCUUAGCCCAGGUCAUGGAUUUAAACAAAAAUACGUCAGAUUUGAAUGAUAUUUCUAUUGUUAAUAAAUUUCCUGACGUAUUCCCUCAAGAACUUCUUGGCCUACCCCCAGAGCGUAAAAUCGAAUUUUGUGUCGAUCUUGAACCCGGUACAAAACCCAUUUCCAAAACCCCAUAUCGAAUGGCUCCUAUUGAACUUCAGGAGUUAAAAACCCAACUACAGGAAUUAUUAGACAUCGGUUUCAUUCGUGCUAGUUGAUAAGUGGAUUUUUUAUACACUUAUCCGGUAUCUUUUACUUGAAUUAGUUGCUUAUAUUCAUGUGUCUUAGUUACUUUUCAUGCAUUUUGUGUUCAUUUUGUAGGUUAUACGUUUGGGAGCGGUGUGAGCGAUUAUUGGUAAGGAAAAGCAAAGAAAAUGUAAAGAAAUGGCCAUCCGGACAUCAUUUGGGCUUUCAUGUUACUUCAUGUUCUAGUCUUGGAACUUGAACUACAUUGUAGAGCAUCUUCGUAGCUUUCUGGAACAUCUUGAAUUACUCUAAUCGGAGUUCGGAUGCAAGAGUUAUGAUUGUUGUACCAACGGACGUCAAACAUCGCUGUUUUGGUUAGCCAUUUGCAUAGCAGUCCCUUCCAGCUCGAUUUCAACCUUCAUCCGGCCCGAAUUUCUCAAUUAUCAAAGAAUAGAAGUUGUAGAGCUCGUUGAUAUCUUCGAUUUGAUAGGUGGCAGGCCCCGUAACUCUUCCCGGAUCAAACGUUAUGGCUAUUUUACCAGAGCAGACUGCAGCAGAAAAUCACCCGCGCGCGGGCCGCGAAUCCCACGCGGCCGCGCGACGUACAGUAGCAAAAAGACGCGAUUUUCAGUUUUCGAGCGGGCGCGCAACUUCGGGUGCUGACCAAAGUUGACUUUUCAUUAAACAGUGCAAUUGAAGCGUAAUUGAGAGGGGGGGGGGGGUUCAAUCAGGGCUUAUAUAUUAGAUAUAUUUUCAUUAUGUAGGAUAUAUUCCACCCCUUGGGGGCUGAAGCUAUUGUCUUCUUCUCUCUUUAAUUUCAAUAAUAGAAUAAAGUAGAUUAGUGUAGGUAUUUUCUAGCGUUGAUUGGAUUGGAGACUUGAAGCAAUUGGAAAUCAUUAGAGAUUCAACCUUGGCUCAAGAGAACAGAUUUGGACUACAAUUCUCUAUCCUUAUUCUCUCUUUAAUUGCUUCUUAUAUCUCAUGAUGUGUCUUCAAUAUGUAGAUAAUAGCAUUAAUUCAAUUAUGACUUAACUUCUAUUCUGAGAUUGCAAUGGAUUCUAUGAGUUAGUUAUUUCUGAUAUGUUUCAUUGUUAGCCUUAUUGAUUUCUAUGUAUUUGUCUAUUAAGAUUCAUGCUUAAUUGCUUAGUUGAUUGGCCAUCAAUUACUGUGAUAACCCAUAUGAACUUGAAAGACGAAGUAUGGGUUUAGAUAUGAUCUUGAUAGCUUGUGAUUGUAUAUUCUACGUUGUGAUGGGAUGUAUGAUUUGUGCUUAGGAUAGACAUAUACCGAAGCACCACUCGUAGUUAAUUGAAAACUUGGAAUUAAACCCUAAUUAUUUGUAAAUCACAUAGACAUAUAGUGAUUUAUGUAAUGUGGGUGUUCAUGUGUAUUCUAUCAAUUGUGGAUUAUAUGUGAUAUGGGUAUGGUGCAUUGAAAGAUGGGUAUACUUUACUUUAGUGUUCUCGACUGACAAACCGGUACAAUUAGUUUGGCUUAACAUGAAAUGUAUGGAUUUGAAUGAGUCAAUAGAUGAAAUUGUAAUCUCAGGUCUUCAUUAUCUAGUUUCACUCUAGGGAUAGUUAGGUUUAUUUAAUUUUUAUAGUUUAAAUAUAAAAUAUAUUAUCCUUCGUUUAAAUAAGACUGAAAUGGUUAUGGGUUAAUGCUUGGUAAACUUUAUUAGUUAAUUCCAUGUGGAUCGAUACUCGACUUAAUCUGUAUUACUUGUUGACGCAUGUAUACUUGCAUGAGUUAGAGCUCUUUUAUCAGAACUGAAAAAGAGGCAACAAGUUUUUGGCGCCAUUGCAGGGGAAUUAUUUUAAUAAUUUUUGCCAACAUUAAUUUCAAUCAAAGUAGUCUUAAUUUAAAUAUUUUAUUUUAUUUUAUUUUAUUUUAUUUUAAUUCUCUUCCUAUAUUUCUCUCUUUUCAGGUACCAUGGGUGACUUUUCUUAUCAAGGGUCUUAUGCAAAUAGGAUUCAACCAAGGGACACAAGAACUGAAGGACUCAAUGUCAGAGUUGGACAAGUACAGUUUGGGGGUGAUUACCUCAACAACUAUGUUUAUCCCAAUUAUCCUCAAGGUUGGGGGUAUCACCCAGAUUUUGAAUGGAGUUAUAACUAUCGAGACUAAUACUGUGCCGCAAGUCCAACACAUCCAUCGAAUUUCUCAUAUCCACCUCCAAUGCAACAAGAAGAAAAUUCAAGGAUGAAGAAAGUCAUGUCAAACAACAUAGCAGACCAUGAAGAGAUGAUGAUGAGUCAGGAGUUAUCAAGCCAAAAUCUUGACAAACAGAUGGAACAACUCAUUAACUCCUCAAUGAAUGGUCCUCAAUACAUGGAUUUCGAAACUGAGAAAGAUGACUCAAGAUUGGAGGAUUUGUGGUUCAAAUUUGUAGCAUCAACUGAGAAGAAGAUGAUUGAGCAAGAGAGGUCAAUUCAAAAUCUUCAGAAUUAGAUGGAUCUAAUGUUCGAAGCCUUGAACAAUCGCCCUCCAAACAAUUGGUGCUAUGACAUGGACGAUGAAACUGAUGGAGAGCCAGAAGUGUGCAUGCCACGGAAUGAACUGAAAGGAGUGGACAUAUAGGAGACAACUGGGGGUAUGGAAAAUGAAGAACAUGAGCUGACUUGUAUAAUAUCCCAAGUGCCAUUCUCAGUUAGAGUUGAAAAAUUCAGUGAAAUUUGCACACCAUGUCCCCUUGGUAGUCAUAUCUAAAGCAAGAAUUUUUGCGAUUAUGAGGCCUCUUACAAACCAUGGGGGGCUGAGGAAGAGAUAAUAGAAGAAGAAAAUCAUGUUAUAUCUGUCAGGCCUCAAUGCAAAAAUUUAUUCACAGAUACAACGGGAGAAGCACCUGGCAUUGCAGUGGAACUAGGGACAUCAUGUAUAGGAAAUAUGCUAGGUGACUUCAAUCCAAAGACUCUCAUGAUGGGGAACCUACCAAAGCACAUAGUGGUUCUAAUGGAUGGAGGGUUCUUAUCUUAUCGUAGAGGAAUCGGAUAGUGGUGUCAAGAAAAGAGUCCAGCUAACGGACUAUAAACCGAGCGCUAGAUGGGAGGCACCCCAUCCAAUCUAUCUCCCUCCUUGUUUAAUUCUAAUUUACAUUUCCAUAUUUAGUAGAUGUUAGAUAAUGGUAAGUAUUAAUAAUGGUUUGAUUAUUUCUCCUCUCAGGUUCAAUCCAAUUACUGCAAGCAUUCAGGAUCAAACAAAAGUCAAAAACUGAAACUGCCAGAGUACAGGGUCGCGCGGCCGCGCCCAACUACAAGCCUAACACCGCGCGAUAGCUUAGUCAUAGAAAAAAAAUUGCUGAAUUUUUAGAAUUUCUGACUAAAGCGUUCGGACAGUUAGAAGCCCACACUCAGUUUCCAACCUUAGAAUAUCUCAAACUUAUCCAUCGCCUGAUAUACCAUCGGAUCAUGAGGAGGCGAACGGAGAUGACAUUGCCACUUAGGGGAGUAUUCUUUCAUUUUUAAUUAUAAUGAGGGCAUUAUUUAUUUUAAGUUUGGGGGUAUUGAGUUGUAGUGAGUAGUUGUUGCGUAUAGUUAGUUGCAUAUAGUUUGAUUGCAUGUUUAAGUUGCAUAGUAGGGGUAUUUUAGUAUCUUGUAGUUAAAUUCUACAUGAAUUUUUUUUUCUUAGUUUUCUUUUGUUUUGUUUACUUAGUAUGUGUCUAGUUGCAUAACAUUGCAUAAUCCCAAGUUUUUAGUUAGUUGACUUCUAAUUUGGCCUAUGAUGAAAUAGAAGUUUGAUAGAUUUUUGAACUUGGUUGAUAUCUUGAGCUUAGUUAUAAUUUUAUACAUGAUAUAAUUCAUGCUUGCUGUUUAGAUGUUACCAGGUAGCACGACAAUGUUCCUAUUUGCUUGUUAGUUAAGAUUAACAUGCUUGUGUGCUGAGUAGAAAAUAUUUUUUUUUAAAGAUGGAAUUGUGUAUAAAGUAGACAUAGACUAUGAAAACACAGAUACUCAAAUUUUGAGAACACAUGGGUAUGCUUUCUAUUGGGACGAGAUGGAGCGUAAAACGCACUCGUGUAAAUAGAAAUGGAAAGCGAGAUGGAGCGUAAAACGCACUCGUUUAAAUGGAAAUGGAAGGUGAGAUGGAGCGUAAAACGCACUCGCUAUAUAUAUCUAAAAAAAAAAAUCAAUAAACACCACGGGAAAGUGCGAAAAUCGCCCUUGCGAGUAAAAAUAAAGCAGAAUAAACCCAUUGUUGAACCUUAGUUUGUAUUGAUGUGUUGGAGUAGUUGAUGUCUCAUUAGUAUAUGCAGUUCUUGAUUUAAACUUCAAUUUUCUGCCUUACGCAGUAUAGCAUGUGAAAUCCUCACCUUUUUCAAGCUUAUAUGUGAACACAUCACACACACACAACAUCUUUAUAGCAGGUUAGGAUUAUAUAAUUGUAUGUCAUUAUGCCUUUAGCUUAGUUUGAUGCUUUGUUCUUGGUUCUUGAUAUUUCUAUGAGGCAUUUCUCACUGGAAUUCAUAACAUGAUUGAAAAUCUGGGGAAUCAUUGUCAUAGUAGCGUAGCUUGCAUAGCAUGUAGAUUGCAUUAUAUUGUGUUGCUUGCGGACAAGCAACAGUUUAAGUUUGGGGGUAUUUGAUAAGUGGAUUUUUUAUACACUUAUCCGGUAUCUUUUACUUGAAUUAGUUGCUUAUAUUCAUGUGUCUUAGUUACUUUUCAUGCAUUUUGUGUUCAUUUUGUAGGUUAUACGUUUGGGAGCGGUGUGAGCGAUUAUUGGUAAGGAAAAGCAAAGAAAAUGCAAAGAAAUGACAAUUCGGACAUCAUUUGGGCUUUCAUGUUACUUCAUAUUCUGGGCUUGGAACUUGGACUACAUUGUAGAGCAUCUUCGUAGCUUUUCAGAACAUCUUAAAUCGCUCUAAUCGGAGUUCGGAUGCAAGAGUUAUGAUCGUUGUACCAACGGACGUCAAACUUCGCUGUUUUGGUUAGCCAUUUGCAUAGUAGUCCCUUCCAGCUCGAUUUCAACCUUCAUCCGGCCAGAAUUUCUCAAUCAUCAAAGAAUGAAAGUUGUAGAGCUCGUCGAUAUCUUCGAUUUGAUAGGUGGCAGGCCCCGUAAAUCUUCUCGGAUCAAAUGUUAUGGCUAUUUUACCAGAGCAGACUGUAGCAGAAAAUCACCUGCGCGCCGGCGCGCGAAUCCCGCGCGGCCGCGCGACUUACAUUAGCAAAAAGACGCGAUUUUCAGCUUUCGCGCGGGCGCGUCCAACUCCGGCCAAUUCCCGCGCGGCCGCGCGACUUCGGGUGCUGACCAAAGUUGACUUUUCAUUAAAUAGUGCAAUUGAAGCGUAAUUGAGAGGGGGGGGGGUNNNNNNNNNNNNNNNNNNNNNNNNNNNNNNNNNNNNNNNNNNNNNNNNNNNNNNNNNNNNNNNNNNNNNNNNNNNNNNNNNNNNNNNNNNNNNNNNNNNNAAUAGAGUAGAUUAGUGUAGGUAUUUUCUAGAGUUGAUUGGAUUGGAGACUUGAAGCAAUUGGAAAUCGUUAGAGAUUCAACCUUGGCUUAAGAGAACAGAUUUGCACUACAAUUCUCUAUCCUUAUUCUCUCUUUAAUUGUUUCUUGUAUCUCAUGAUGUGUCUUCAAUAUGUGGAUAAUAGCAUUAAUUCAAUUAUGACUUAACUUAUAUUCUGAGAUUGGAAUGGAUUCUAUGGAUUAGUUAUUUCUGAUAUGUUUCAUUGUUAGCCUUAUUGAUUUCUAUGGAUUUGUCUAUUAAGAUUCAUGCUUAAUUGCUUAGUUGAUUGGCCAUCAAUUACUGUGAUAAUCCAUAUGAACUUGAAAGAUGAAGUAUGGGUUUAGAUAUGAUCUUGAUAGCUUGUGAUUGUAUAUUCUACGUUGUGAUGGGAUGUAUGAUUUGUGCUUAGGAUAGACAUAUACCGAAGCACCACUCGUAGUUAAUUGAAAACUUGGAAUUAAACCCUAAUUAUUUGUAAAUCACAUAGACAUAUAGUGAUUUAUGUAAUGUGGGUGUUCAUGUGUAUUCUAUCAAUUGUGGAUUAUAUGUGAUAUGGGUAUGGUGCAUUGAAAGAUGGCUAUACUUUACGUUAGUGUUCUCGACUAACAAACCGGUACAAUUAGUUUGGCUUAACAUGAAAUGUAUGGAUUUGAAUGAGUCAAUAGAUGAAAUUGUAAUCUCAGGUCUUCAUUAUCUAGUUUCACUCUAGGAAUAGUUAGGUUUAUUUAAUUUUCAUAGUUUAAAUAUAAAAUAUAUUAUCCUUCAUUUAAAUAAGACUGAAAUGGUUAUGGGUUAAUGCUUGGUAAACUUUAUUAGUUAAUUCCCUGUGGAUCGAUACUCGACUUACUCUGUAUUACUUGUUGACGCAUGUAUACUUGCAUGAGUUAGAGCUCUUUUAUCAGAACUGAAAAAGAGGCAACACUAGUACAUCUCCUUGGGGUGCUCCUGUUAUAUUCGUGAAGAAGAAAGAUGGAAGUAUGCGACUUUGUAUUGAUUAUCGGGAGUUUAAUCAUGUCACCAUAAAAAAUAGGUACCCGUUACCUCGUAUUGAUGAUCUAUUUGACAAAUUGCAAGGCGCAAAAUUCUUUUCAAAGAUCGAUCUUCGUUUCGAAUAUCAUCAAUUAAAGAUUAAAACUGAUGACAUUCCGAAGACUGCUUUAAGAACUCGGUACGGGCAUUUCGAAUUCCUAGUCAUGUCUUUUGGAUUGACUAAUGCUCCUGCUGCCUUCAUGGAUAUGAUGAAUCGAGUAUUCAAGGAAUAUUUGUAUCACUUUGUGGUCGUCUUUAUUGAUGACAUCCUCAUUUACUCCAAAAGUCGUGAAGAUCAUGAGAAACACUUGAGACUGAUACUUCAAAAGCUUCAUGAAAAUAAGUUAUAUGCCAAGUUGACGAAAUACGAGUUCUGGAUUGAGGAAGUUGCAUUCCUUGGGCACGUGAUAUCAAAUCAUGGAAUAUCUGUUGACCCGACAAAGAUUGAAACAAUUCAAAGCUGGGAGCAACCUAAGUCAGUGACCAAAGUACAUAGCUUUUUUGGUUUAACUGCUUAUUAUCGGAGGUUCGUGGAAGGAUUUUCUCGAAUCGCUACUCCAUUAACUCAGUUGACUCAAAAAGAUACAAAAUUCGGUUGGAGCGAGAAUUGUGAGAAGAGUUUUCAAGAACUCAAGAGGAGGCUCAUUUUAGCACUUGUUUUGACAAUACCAGCUGGUUCGGAGGGAUUUGUCAUAUACAGCGAUGCUUCAGGCAAAGGUUUAGGGUGUGUUCUCAUGCAACAUGGGAAAGUCAUAGCCUAUGCCUCACUACAACUCAAAGAAUAUGAGAGGAAUUAUCCUACUCGUGAUCUAGAGUUGGUAGCUGUCAUUUUUGCGCUUAAGAUUUGGAGGCAUUACCUGUAUAGAGAGAAGGUGGAGAUCUAUACAGAUCAUAAAAGCCUCAAAUAUUUCUUUACUCAAAAGGAACUCAACAUGCAGCAACAACGAUGGCUUGAGCUAUUGAAAGAUUACGAUCAUACCAUUCAAUACCAUCCUGGAAUAGCGAACCUAGUAGCUAACGCAUUAAGUAGAAGAUCAUAUGCGGGUACGAGUGUGAUAUUGUCAACGCAAAGGCCCAUUUUGUAUGACUUACAAAGGACGGAGAUAGAGUUAAAGCCUCCAGGGACCCAUGUGAUGAUGACAAAUAUACGAGUAGAAUCGACUUUAAUCGAUAAAGUUAAAGAUGCUCAAGCUACAGACCUAGAGCUGAUGCGUAUGAGGAAGAAAGUGCAAGAAGGUGCUAUUCCGGAAGCAAGAAUCGAUGAAGAAGGAAUACUUUGAGUCAACUCCAGACUUUGUGUUCCUAACGAUUCUGACUUGAAGUAUAAAAUUAUGAUGGAGGCGCACAACACAUCGUUUGCAAUCCAUCCUGGGAGUACCAAAAUGUAUCGUGAUCUUCGAUAUACAUUUUGGUGGAGCAAUAUGAAGAGAGAGAUAGCGGGGUUUAUCUCAAGGUGUCUAACUUGUCAACGAGUCAUGGCAGAGCAUCAAGUGCCAAAAGGUCCAUUGCAACCACUUAAAAUUCCAGAAUGGAAGUGGGAGCACAUUACCAAGAAUUUCGUUAUUGGUCUUCCCAAGGUUUCUCAAGGCAUAAAUUCGAUUUAGGUCAUUGUUGAUAGAUUAACCAAGUCUGCUCAUUUCUUACCAAUACGAGAAUCUUAUACACUUGAACGUCUUGCUCGUAUGUAUAUAAAUGAGAUUGUAAGAUUGCAUGGUAUGCCAGUAUCCAUAGUUUCUGAUCGAGACUCAAGAUUCACUUCACGAUUUUGGGUUAGUUUGCAAAAAGAUAUGGGCACGGAUUUACGAUUUAGUUCAGCAUAUCAUCCUCAAACGGACGGGCAGUCGGAGAGGACUAUUCAAACUCUUGAAGAUUUAUUAAGACUCUGUGUCCUUGACUUCAAAGGAAGUUGGGACAAGUUUUUACCAUUGGUGGAGUUUUCCUACAACAACAGUUAUCAAGCAAGUAUUGGCAUGACUCCAUUUAAGGCGUUGAAUGGAAUAAAGUGUCGUUAUCCAGUAUGCUGGGAUGAGGUGGGUGAAGCAACGUUGUUGGGACCAGAGUUGGUACGUAUGACUACGGAAAAGAUUCAAACGAUCCGGCAACGUAUAAAAACCUCACAAGAUCGACAAAAGAGUUAUGAUGAUCUUCAUCGAAAGGACGUGGAAUUCAAUAUUGGAGAUCAUGUGUUGUUACGUGUUGCUCCAUGGAAAGGAGUUACGAGAUUUGGAAAGAGAGGAAAGCUCAAUCCUCGAUUCAUUGGCCCAUUUUUAAUCCUCGAUCGAGUAGGAACUGUGGCCUAUACACUCGCCUUACUACCAAGUAUGUCUCAUGUUCAUAACGUUUUUCACAUAUCUAUGUUACAUAAAUAUAUGAAAGACCCGAACCACAUUAUUGAAUUAGAACUGGACGAGAUAGCGAAAGAUUUAAUGUAUGAAGAUGUUCCUGUUAAAAUCUUGGAUAAGAAGGAACAUAGUCUACGCUCCAAGGUUAUACCUCAAGUCAAAGUUUUGUGGAGAAACCACGAUGUUGAGGAAAUGACCUGGGAGUUAAAAUCUAAAAUGAGAUCAAGGUAUCCUCACCUCUUCGUCAUACUAGGUAUGUACCCUAAUUUCGAGGGCGAAAUUUCAUAAGAAGGAGAGGUUGUAAGACCCCAACUUUUAUGAAUAAAGAUGAAUUUUCUAUAAAUAUCAUUUUUGAAUAUUAAGGAGUGAAUUUGAUAUAAUGUUAUAGUUGUGGGUAAUAUUUAUAAAUUUUGCAAUGUACGCAAGUUGUUAUAUUAUAUUCGAUUGGUCGGGAAAUAUUCGUUUUAACAGGAAAUAUUCGUACGAUGCCACAAUCAUUGGUAGACCCCACAACGGAAGUAUUAUCGUAGUUACAAAAUGACAGAAUUAUCUUUUUAUUAAAAUAACGGCGAAAGUUUUAUCGUUAAACUGUUGAACUACCCGGUGGUAAAAGAACAGUAAUACGCGUGGUUGCAUAGUAGCACACGGUAUUGAUUAUUGAUGCUUACGUGAGAAGUCACUUAGUUAUACUCAAUUAUUGCUACAGUAAUUGCUGCAUAAUAUCUCUUAUUAUUAAUUCAAUUAUUGUCACAGUAUCAUCUGCAUAAUAUUUAUUAUUAUUAAAUCACUAAUUGAGACGACAAAGUUAUUCAUAUUAUUAUUUUCAAUUUUGACAAUGUCUAGAAAGUUCUGUCAAGGAGAGGUUUGGUCACGUAAUUGUGCGCCAAUAGGGAGAAAUCCUUAUCGAAAAGCCCCCUCUUUCCUGGGAAUGAUCUGGUUGUUAAAUAUUGUGAGUUAUAAUAUUAAUAAUGAAUAAGUUCGUAUUGAUUAAAGAUGAAAUUGAUAUUUUCAUUGUGUUGGGAUUAUUAGUGUUAAUGGAAAUCGACAUCUAUUUCGAUAAUAAUUGAUGUCUGGAGGUUAUAUUUCGAUAAUAAUUCACAUGUUUAUAACUGGUUGUCCAUGUGUGUACUAUUGAUUCACAUGCAUGUACUAUUAGGGGAGGUGGUGCAAGAUUGAUAAUACUUGCAUGACUAAAUUAAAAAUGAAGGUAUAGAUGAAGGUACUAUACUGUAAUUAUUUUUUUCACAUGUAUAGAACUAUUGAUUCACAUGAAUGUACUAUUGAUUCACAUGACAUACUAUUAGGGGAUGUGGUGUAAGUUUGAUAAUACUUACAGGACUAAAUUAAAAAUAAAGGAAAAGAUGAAGGUAUUAUACUGUAAUAUUUUGAGCCCCAAAACGUGCAAUUAUAGAAACUAUAUUUUUCUAUAAAUAGAAGCUCAUUCUUCUUUCAUUCUAACGAAUUCACUAAGACUCACAAGAGCAAUUAUAGAGAGAGAAGCUAUAGAGAGAGAAGCUUUAGAGAGAAAGUUGAAGAGAAGUCUGCUACCUCACUAUUCCAGUAUCCAGUAUUUUUCUGAGGUAAGGGAUAUUAUUUUGUUCAGUAUUCAUAGGAAUAAUAUUUUCUUCCAUACUCUGUAGUAUGUGAGUAAUAUUAUUUUGUCUCGUAUUCCUGAUUAUACCCUCAUUUUGUUAAAGUAUUUCUUCUAUACUCUGUGAAAUUAGUAAAUAUCUUUGAAAUUUGCGCUUCAUCUAGUGUCGUUUCACAUGGAUAUUUUAUGCACAUUCGGGUUAAAUUUUAAGCUUUUCAUGUCGGAGUGCUGUCCAUGAAUAGUAUUCAUUUUUACGAUAUUAUUCACAAAGUACUAUUCACGGGGUACUAUUCACAAAGUACUAUUUAUGGGUACUAUUCACAAAGUACUAUUUACGAGUACUAUUUACAAAGUACUAUUCACAGGAUACUAUUCCUGAAGUACUAUUCAUGGGGUACUAUUCACUCGGGUACUAUUCACCCGGGGAAUUAUUCAUGACAAAAUUGAUUUCUUUGUUGUCCAAAUCAUUUUUGAUACAAUAUUAUUCUUGAAUUUUACUCCACAAAAGCAGUAUCAUGUUGAUAAUUUGGACAUUAUUGAAUUCUGGAUUAAUUAAAUUAUAAAUCUUUAAAAAUUUAUCCUUUUCAUUCUUUUAAUUUAAUUCUUAUAUCAUUGUCAUUAUCCUCAUGUUUAUAUUGUGAUAAAAGUCAUCCGUGGCUUGCGUGCAUAGAUGUACUAUUGAUUGGUAUGAUUAUGACUAGGAAUUAUUCGGUAUAAUCAUGAUCGUAACGUUACAAAUGAUGUGGUAAAAAUCUUCAUUGGCCUGUAGUGCAUUGAUGGACAGUUGUUGGUAUGAUUAUGACCAUGGAUUAUUCGGUAUAAUCAUGACCAUUGAUGAUUACAUGAAUAUCCUUGGCCCGUAGUGCAGGGAUGAUUCAGUGAUGUGGUUUAUUUAUUAAGCUGAGUCUCAGCGAUAAUAUUGAUGAUAAACUUUUUAAAUCAUAGAAGAUAGUAGAUAUCAUGCUCUACUUGACUCUUCUAAUGGAUUGCUUGUUCCGCUGUAGUUAAACUUGAUGUUUAUUAUAUUUUAUCAGUUUAACACUGUUGAAGGCUAACGAUAAUUUAUUCUACAUUAUCUUAGUUAUAAUAUUUCUUACUAGGCUAGUUGAGCUCACCAUUUGUUUUCAUUGUUCUCUUCAGGAAAUGAGAAUAUAGCUGGGACUAAUCGGGGAACGGAGUGACGGUCCAGAUGUUUGCAUUAGUAGUCCUCACUAUUCAGUGAAAUAGUGUGAUAAUAAAUGUAAUAAGGACUCCAUUUGAGUUUGAAUACUGUCUAAAAGACAAUAUUCGUAUUAAAACUCUCAGCUUAUGUUUUGUCGUAUUUUACAUGACAGUUGUAUAAUUAAGUUGUAUUUGAAUUUUGUACCAUGUAUUUGGCGACUCAAGAUGGGUGAUGUAUACCUAUUUUGGGGGCAUCACAAAUGUGUUCCCACUUCCAUUUUCAUAAUCUCAAGUGGUUGCAAUGGACCCUUUGGCAUUUGAUGCUCCGCCUUUACACGGUUACAAGUUAAACACCUUGAGAUAAACUCCGCGAUCUCUCUCUUUAUAUUGUUCUACCAAAAUGUAUGUCGAAGAUCAUGAUACAUUUUGUUACUACCAGGAUGGAAUGAAAACGGUAUGUUGUGUGCCUCCAUCAUGCUUCUAUGUUUCAAGUCAGAAUCGUUAGGAACACAAAGUCUAGAGUUGACUCAAAGUAUUCCUUCUUCAUUGAUUAUUGCUUCUGGAAUAACACCUUCUUGCACUUUCUUCUUUAUACGCAGGUCUGUAGCUUGAGCAGCUUUAACUUUAUCGAUUAAAGUCGGUUCUACUCGUAUGCUUGAUAUUGUCACGUGGGUACUUGGAGCCUUUACCUCUAUCUCCAUCCUUUGCAAGUCAUAUAAAAUGGGCCUUUGUGUUAACAACAUUGCACUCGUACCAGCAUAUGAUUUUCUACUCAAUGCGUCAGCUACCACGUUUGCUUUUUUCCAGGAUGAUAUUAGAUGGUAUGAUCGUAAUCUUUCAACAGCUCGAGCCAACGUCGUUGCCGCAUGUUGAGUUCCUUUUGGGUGAAGAAAUAUUUGAGGCUUUUAAGAUAUGUAUAGAUUUCCACUUUCUCCCCAUACAGGUAGUGUCUCCAGAUCUUCAACGCGAAAACGACUGCUGCCAACUCUAAAUCAUGGGUAGGAUAAUUCCUCUCAUAUUCUUUGAGUUGUCGCGAGGCAUAGGUUAUGACUUUCCCAUGUUGCAUGAGAACACAUCCUAACCCUUUGCCCGAAGCAUCGCUAAAGAUAACAAAUCCAUCCGAACUAGAUGGUAUUGUCAGAACAGGUGCCGAAAUGAGUCUCCUCUUGAGUUCUUGAAAACUCUUCUCACAAUCCUCGCUCCAACUGAAUUUUGUAUCUUUACGAGUCAGCUGAGUUAACAAAGUAGCGAUUCGAGAAAAUCCUUCCACGAAUCUCCGAUAGUAACCAGCUAAGCCCAAAAAGCUACGUACUUCGGUCACCGACUUCGGUUGGUCCCAACUUUGUAUUGCUUUAAUCUUUGACUGGUCAACAGAUACUCCAUGUUUUGACACCACGUGCCCAAGGAAUGCUAUUUCCUCAAGCCAGAACUCACAUUUCUUCAGCUUGGCAUAUAGCUUGUUAUCACGAAGCCUUUGCAGUACCAGCUUCAAAUGGUGCCCAUGUCAUCAAUAAAGACGACAACGAAUUGAUCCAAAUAUUCUUUGAACACACGGUUCAUCAUAUCCAUGAAAGCAGAAGGAAUUAGUUAAUCCAAAAGACAUGACUAAGAAUUCAUAAUGCCCGUACCGAGUUCUGAAGGAAGUCUUUGGAAUAUCCUCAAUUUUAAUCUUCAGCUGAUGAUAUCCAGAACGAAGAUCGACCUUUGAAAAAAAAUUGUGCUCCUUGCAACUGGUCGAACAAGUCAUCAAUGCGAGGUAGCGGAUACCUAUUCUUGAUGGUGACAUGAUUCAAUUCCCGGUAGUCAAUACAAAGUCGCAUACUCCCAUCUUUCUUCUUUACAAAUAAAACAGGAGCACCCCAAGGAGAUGUACUAGGACGAAUGAAACCGAUGUCCAACAACUCCUGAAGUUGGACCUUUAACUCCUGAAGUUCAAUAGGAGCCAUUCGAUAUGGGGUUUUAGAAAUGGGCUUUGUACCAGGUUCAAGGUCAAUAAAGAAUUCAACUUCACGUUCUGGGGGUAGACCGGGAAGUUCUUUAGGAAAUACAUCAAGAAAUUCACUAACAAUAGAAAUAUUAUUCAAAUAUUAUGUGUUUUUGUUCAAGUUCGUGACAUGGGCUAAGAAAGCUUGACAUCCGUUUUUUAAUAAACGAAUGGCUUUAUGGCUUGAUAUGACAGUUAUUGACUUUAGAGGUUUGGUUUCUUGAAUUCGCAUAACAGGUUGGUUAGGAAUAUGAAAACUAACAACCUUACGAAAAUAAUCAAUUUUAGCAUGAUGAGUGGUUAACCAAUAAAUCCCUAAUAUAACAUCAAAUGCAAGUAUUUUCAACGAAAUAAGAUCGACAGGUAAUGUGAUGGUACCAACUUGAAUCAAGCAAGAUUUAUACACAGCAGAUGUAAUGAAAGUUUCUCCUAAAGGAGUCUCAACAGAUAAGUCAAAGUCUAAUUUCUCCGGAGUCAAGAAGUUCAAACAUUGAGCACAAGCAGAAGAGAUAAAAGAAUGGAUAGAACUAGUAUCUAAUAAGGUAUAAACUUCGCAAGAGUUUAUGAUUAGCUUACCCGUGAUCACCUCGUUUGGGUUCCUCGCAUUUUGGGCAGUCACAACAAACGCCAUUCCAGGAACCACCGACUUUGACUUGUCCGGGACAGCCUUUAGAGUCACCAUCCCCGGCUAAAUUGGUUUUGCAAUAAGACAAUCUCUAGCUAUAUGACAUUCCUUUCCACAGUUAUAACACACCUUAGAUUGUUGUGGGCAGUUUGGGCUGAUGUGUCCCUCUUUCCCGCAUUUAUAACAAACUACCGAUGCUCGUUCUCCUCCCCUAGAAACAAUUGAUAUUUGUGCUGACGUCUUCAUGUUAUCAAUGUUGUACCUUCUCUUUUUGAAAUCUUCUCCCGACUCGCUUAUUCUACCAUCAUGGCCACGAUUACCACCAGAGUGGUUACCACUUUUGUCCGAAUGUUUUCCUCCCCGCUGGUUGUUAUUGCUCUGAUGAUCGCUGCCACCGGUAUGACCCUGGUUGUGAUCCAUUGGUUGAACAUACUCAUUAUCUCGCUCUAAUAAUUGAGCCAUGUUUACAACAUCUGAAUAUAAAGAAAAUUUAUGAGAGAUAAGAUAUUGCCGAAUCUCAAGUUUUAGACCUCUCAGAAACAUCCUCAUCAGUCGUUCCUCAUUCUCUACCAAAUGAGGUGCAAACCUGGAUAACUCUGCGAACUUCGCCUCGUACUGGGACACCGUCAUGUUGUUUUGUUCCAAUCUAAUAAACUCUACCUCCUUCAUAUGACGAAUACUUUUAGGAAAGUACUUGUCAUUGAAUAGUUUCUGAAAUGUUUCCUAAGACCUGUUGAGUGCGGCUGGCUGGGUACGCUUCACAGACUCCCACCAGUAGUCUGCCUCACCACGGAACAUAAAGGUGGCGAAUGGAACCUUAUGUUCCUCUGUGCAUCCCAAGACAUCAGAUAUCUUGGUAAUUUGUUUAACCCACGUUUUUUCCUUGAUCGGAUCCGGCUUUCCCGCAAAUUCUGGUGGUCCCAAUUCUUUGAACUGUUUGGCUGUGACAAGUCGCGCAUUACUAUCAUUUCAACCCGUAUUUUGUACACGAGUCUCCCUCGUCUGAUUUUGCAUGAACUGAAAAAAGCUUCUAAACAUCCCAUCAUUCAUCAUUUAUUCGUUAGUGUUGUUUAUAGGAGGAAUAUUGCCUUGCUGUUGCACGUUCCCCUGGGUGGUGAUAAAAGGUGUUUCCAUGGUCUCAUUCAAUCCAUUGUUAAUAUUUUCAGCUGCCCUUUUCAAAUACUGCCACAAAACAAGGGUUACUUAACAAAUUAACAUAUCACAUAUUAACCAUAUGCUCCGACUGACCAACCAAAUAAGCUUAGGUAUAACACACUAGCGAAUGAUUACUCGUCUCUUCCCUCCUAGUUCUAUUCCCCAAUCACCGCCAGAGACCAUAUCCCUAAGCCCUGAUAACAACUGUGACGCCCCCAAAAUAAGUAUACAUCACCCAUUCUGAGUCGCCAAAUACAUGGUACAAAAACAAAUACAAGUUCAGUAAUACAAUUGUCGUGCAAAAUACGAUAACACAUAUACUAUGAGUUUAAAUAUUGUCUAACAGACAGUAUACAAACUCAAAAGGAGUCCUCCUUAUAAUUAUUGAUACACUAUUUUACAAAAUAAUGAGGACUAUUAAAACAACCAUCCUGAACCAUCACUCUAUACCCCCGCUAGUUCCUGCUAUGUUCUCACCUCCUGAGAAGGAAAAAAUGGAACAAAAAGGAAAAGGGUGAGCUCAACUAGCCCAGUAAGAAUAUUAUAACUAAGAUAGUAUACACAAAAUUAUCAUUAGUCUUCAACAGGGAAAAAUCUGAUAGAAUAUAAUAGACAACAAGUUUUAGAUUAACAACUGCAGCGGAAAUAACAAUCCAUUAGAAGAGUAAAGUAGAUAAUGAAUUCUACUAUCUUCUAAGAUUUAAAAGUCCAUCAUCAAUAUUUUAUCCCUGUAACAUCAAUCAAUAUACAUCUUGAAUCAAAUAUUCAUCUUUGUACUACAUGUCAAAGAUAUUCAUUUGUAUCACCAGUUGGUCAUGUUCAUCUCAACACCUGUUCAUCUUUGCACUACGGGCCAAAGAUAUUCAUCAGUUAAUCAUUCAUCUUUGCACUACAGGUCAAAGAUAUUCAGUAAUAUCAUCAUUUAGGACUAGGGAUGAUAAAAAAUAUCUUAAAAAAACGAAUCCAGUGAGAUAAAAGAUCAAAGAUUAGGGAUUCGUACUUUAGUUUAUCCAAGUUCAAAAAAAUUAUAAUAAUCAAUUGUGGAGCAAAAUUCAAGAAUGAAGAUCAAAACAUGGAUAUAAUCAAAUAUAGUAACCAUAAUAAACAACUUAGACAAAGUAAAGAAAAUUUCAUUUUUCUGUGAAUAGUGUCAUAUUCGUGAAUAGAGCCAUGUACGUGAAUAGUGUCGUAUACGUGAAUAGUAACCCCAACACAAAAAUGUAGAAAUUCCACAAGAAAACUCAUACUUCGUGAAUAGUACUGUAUUCGUGAAUAGUGUCGUAUAUGUGAAUAGUGUCGUAUACGUGAAUAGUAAUCUCGACAUGAAAAGGUAAAAUUUUUAUAAUAAAAUUCAUACCAAUAUUUAUGUAUAAUGAUAUUGAAAGAAUAACAUCAUUUACGAAGAAAAUAACAUCCCUUACCUCAAAAUAAUAGUACUUCUGAUCGGAAUAUCAGAUGUAAAGCCGAAUGAAACUUGCACUGAAUAGUAACUCUCAAAGUAUCUAAAUACUCACAAAAUACGCUCGAUAAUAUAGAGAGAAAAAGCUUAUGAUUCUGGUGUGAUUUUCAAUUCUAACUAAGCACCCUAUUUAUAGGAAAAUACUUAGAACGCCAUAGCAGACUAACCUGCUACCUGAUGGUUUUACCUGCUACUAUUCACGCCCACCAUUUUUGAAAUAAAAUUUCAGCAUAUUUUUUCACUAACCAAAAGUAUGGCCCACCCAUGUUUUUAAUAAAAAAUAUUUAUUUCUGAAACUUCAAUAAUUCAUAAUAAAUAGCCCUUUUAUCAGAAAAAUACGAAUUUUAUGUCCAUUCCAUAGGAAAUUAAAUUCUCUACAACUUUGUAGAAGAAAGUUUUUCCAAAUUCCAAACAAAAAAUGCUCGAAAUUCACAUUCGGACGAUUUUUAAUACCUUCAUUCUGACAAAAUACUGAUAAAAUACCUCAGCAUUAAUUCCAUCAUUUAUAUUCACACAAAAUAAAUAUAUCCAUCAUUUAUAUCCACAUAAAAUAAAUAUUUCCUUAUCCUAUGAAUCAAUAAUUAAUUAUUCAUAAAUAAUAUUACAGAAUCACAAUUAUGAUAACCAGGUCGUUCCCAGGAAAGAGGGGGCUUUUCGAUAAGGAUUUCUCCUUAUUGGCGCGCAAUUAGGUGACCAAACCCCUUUUCUAGACAGAACUUCCUUAGACAUUGCCAAUAAUGCUAUCUAAUAAUAUUAUUCAAAUAAUAUGAAUUAUUGAUCUGAUAAUGGGAAAUACUGUGCAAUAACAAUUAUUGAAACAACAAUAAUAUAACAUAUCAACGUAGCAAUUAUUGAAUCAACAAAAUAAAAUAUUGAACAGUAAUUACUGUAACAAUUAUUGAGUAGUGCCUUCUUACGUAAGAAUCAAUAAUUCAAAAUAGUGUGCAAUACCGUGUGCUACUGUGCAACCACGCGUAUUACUGUAUUUUAACCCCAGGUAUUUCAACAGUGUUAAUGGUAAUAAUAACGACGUUAUUUAUAAAAUCUCAUACUUGUCGUUUUCUUUAUCCGACCGUUUUCCGUUAUGGGGCCCACAAAUGGUUGCGCUGUCAUACGAAUAUUCCCCGACAACAAUGAAUAUUUUAUAACCACUUGCUUAAUUUACAAAAUUUGCACAUUUCACCCAUAACCAAAGUAUUAUAUCAAAUUAACACCUUGUUAUUCACAAUAAAAUUAGAGAAAAUUCGAUUUUAUUUAUAUAAAAUUGGGGUCUUACAAUUAAUUAUUAUUAUUAGUACUAUUAUAAUAAUAAUAAUUAUUAUUGUUAUUAUAAUUAUAAUUAUUAUUGUUAUUAUUAUUAUUAUAAUUAAUAUAAUUAUUAUUAUUAUUAUUAUUAUUAUUAUUAUUAUUAUUAUUAUUAUUUUAAUUAUUACUAUUAUUAUCAUUAUUAUUAUUAUUAUUAUUAUUACUAUUAUAAUAAUAAUAAUUAUUAUUAUUAUUAUAGUAGUAAUUAUUAUUAUUAUGAUUACUAUUAUAAUUAUAAUAAUUAUUAUUGUUAUUAUUAUUUUUAUUUUUACUAUACUAUUAUUAUAAUAAUAAUAAUAAUUAUCAUUAUAGUUAUUAUUAUCAUUAUUGUUAUUUGAUUUGGGAGAGAAUUUUUAGAGGUGAAUUUGAUUUGGGCGAGAAUUUUUAGUGUGAGAUGAAAUGUGAGCUUUUAGAUUAAGUUGGAAGAAUUGAGAUGAAAUUUGAACCGUCCUUGUGCUUUGUCAAAUGAAAGAUUCAAAAUGGGUUCUGUUUUAUUAUAUAGAUAUACAUAAAAAAAAUCAGUGGGAUCAAAUUACUAAAUUUGACCCAAAAAACUAUUACAUCAUAUAUAUAUAUAUAUAUAUAUAUAUAUAUAUAUAUAUAUAUAUAUAUAUAUAUAUAUAUAUAUAUAUANNNNNNNNNNNNNNNNNNNNNNNNNNNNNNNNNNNNNNNNNNNNNNNNNNNNNNNNNNNNNNNNNNNNNNNNNNNNNNNNNNNNNNNNNNNNNNNNNNNNCUCGAUUUAUUAUUUUGAAAUAGUAAGGGUUGAUUUGAUUAAUGUAGUUAAGUUAUAGGUAAAAUGCGCAAAUAUCUUAAAUAAGCAAGUGGUUAUAAAAUAUUCAUUGUAGUCGGAAAAUAUUCGUUUGGUCGUGGAAUAUUCUUACUGUCGGGGAAUAUUCGUACGACGGCGCAGUCUUUUGUGGGCCCCAUAACGAAAAGCGAUUGGAUGAAGAAAACGACAAAUAUAAGUUGUUUAUAAAUAAUGGCGUAGUUGUUACCGUUAAUAUUUUUGGAAUACUAGUGGUUAAAACACAGUAGCACACGGUAUUACACCAAUUAUUGAUUCUUACGUACGUAAGAAGGCACUACUCAAUAAUUGUUACAGUAAUUACUGUUCAAUAUUUUAUUUUAUUGAUUCAAUAAUUGCUACGUUGAUAUUUUAUAUUAUUGUUGUUUCAAUAAUUGUCACUGCACAGUAUUUUCAUUAUCAGAUCAAUUAUUCAUAUUAUUCGAAUAAUAUUAUUAGAUAACAUUAUUCGCAAUGUUUAGAAAGUUUUGUCUAAGGAGAGGUUUGGUCACCUAAUUGCGCGCCAGUAAGAAGAAAUCCUUAUCGGACAGCUCCCUCUUUCCUGGGAACGGCCUGGUUGUCAUAAUUGUGAUUCUGUAAUAUUAUUUGUGAAUAAUUAAUUAUUGAUUUAUAUGAUGAGAAAAUAUUUAUUUUAUGUGGAUAUAAAUGAUGGAUAUAUUUUAUGUGGACAUAAAUGAAGGAAUUAAUGCUGAGGUAUUUUAUCAGUAUUUUGUAGGAAUGGAGGUUUUGAAAAUCGUCCGUAUGUGGAUUUCGGUUGAUGAGUAGGUUUCAUACCUAUGAAUCUGAUAUUAUUAAACUUAAUUAUUGCUAUUUUUAAUUGUUUUUAGUAUCUUUUUAUGUGUUUUGUGUUUAUUUCUUAUAGGUUGGAGCUGGAGGGACAAAUUGGUCAUUUGGGAGAAGAAAAAGGUCAAAAUUCAUUAAAAUUAGAGUUGAGUGGCAUUUUUUUAAUUAUGCGGUCCUGGUCAAACGCCUAGUCGCUUGGAAAUGGCCUGGGUUGAGCGCCUAGGCGCUCAUGUACGGCUAAAGAAGGAUUUUUCUACUCUUAACUGGGUUUUUGAAGCCAAGUAGGAAUCUAAAAGAUAGUGGGGACUAAUACUAAUACAAGAAGACUUUAGAAAAGAUGUAUCACUGAAUUUUUCAAGAGAUUUUGGCAGAGAGGACAACGAAGAAAAACAAGAAGGAGAAUUGCAAGGGUUGAAGAUCAAAGAGAGAGUUUUGGAGCAAAUUCAGAGUUUCUUCUUCUCUUCUUUAGUUUUAUCUUUUAUAAUUAUCUCGGAUGUUUGGAUUAUUAAUCUAGAUGAUGUUUUUCUUUAUUAUUAUCAUGAACUAAAUUUUAAUUAAGAUUGCAACGGAACUUGGUAUGUAGUUUAAAUUGAACCUUCCUAUUGAAUGAAAGUUGGUUUUUAUUGAAUUAUUUAUUAUAUCUUUUGCUUAUUGAUUAAUUGUUUGGCCAAUAAUUACUGUGAUAAUCUAUAUAAAAUUAGAAGAUGGAGUAUAGAUUGAGAUCUGGAUAUGAUAACAUCUAUUCAUAUAAUCUGAAUAGGGUUAAUAUGAUUAACAUAUAGGAUAGAAAUAUACCUAUGUGUCUUUUGUAUCCAUUGAACGAAUUUGUGCAUAAAACCCUAAUUAACUUGAUUCUCAUAGGAAUAUAGUGAAUUAAUUGACUAGGGUGUUCCUUGUAAUUUUGUGUCUUAAGGAUCGGAGUUAGGAGGAUUUGUUCACGUGUUUUGGAAAAAGUACGUGAAUUUUAUAAAGCAUUCUUGGAUAAUGAUUCAUAUUAAUUAAUUGAUUUGAAUGGGAAGUGAAUUGGUUGAAAUGAAAUACCAAGGGAAGUUGUAAUCUUAACAUGUUAAAUCUGCAGUUAUUCUUGUGAAAUUCUGAUUUUAAUUAUUAGUUUUGUUAAGUAUAAUUUUCAAAUUACAAACAAUAUUUCGUAGUUUGAAAUAGGAUUAAUUGCAUUAGAAUUAGUACUUGAUAAAUAUUAGUCUAUUUCCUCAUGGGAACGAUAUCCUUGCUUGCUGAAUAUUACAAUUGAAUGCGUAUACUUGCGUGGUAAAGUGCUAUUAAAAAAUUAGGCAACAAGUUUUUGGCAUCGUUGCCGGAGAAAUUAGUUUAAUAUUUUGUCAUUAUUGAUUUUUAUAGCGUUAAUGUGACGCCCCCAAAUCCGAGUACUUGCUCCUCCUGACUUGCUUUUGUUCUUCUUCUCCUUGUGGUAGAGGCUCAUGGCCUCACUCCCCUGUUCAGCUAUGAUAGCCUUUUCCAUGAGUGCUGCAAAAGUAUUGAUUUGCAGUACUGACACCUUAUUGUAGAGCCAAGGUUUUAAGCCCAGUUCAAAUCUCCUUGCCUUCCUAGCCUCUGUAUCCACUUGAUGUGGAGCAAACCUAGCCAACUCAUUAAACUUUGUGGCAUACUCUGCAACAGUCAUGUUAUCUUGCUUUAACUCCAGGAAUUUCACUUCCAUUCUAGACUGCAUACUUACUGAGAGAUAGUUUUUGAAAAAUAAAUUCUUAAACAUAUCCCAAGUAAUCACUUCUUCUCCUGCCCGAGUCUUAUUUGCCUCCCACCAAAAGUUAGCCUCCCCUUUCAUCAUAUAAGUGGCAAAAGCGGUCUUUUGCCCCUCAUCUACCCUAGCAAUUACGAACGCCUUUUUUUAUUUCGUUAACCCAUGUCUGGGCUUCUACAGGGUCAGCUGAUCCUCUGAAUUCUGGUGGUCCUACUACUUUGAAGUCUUUGAAUUUUGCCAAGCGAUUGUCUGGCUGGUUUCCUGCAACCGGUGUUCCCUGCUGCAUAGCCUGAGCUACCAUGUUUGCAAAGUUUUGCAUCAGUUCUGGCUGUCGUUCCCCAGUAUUAGCAGAUUCUUCUACCCUUUGGCUUUGAGUUUGACGUCUUAGCGGCAUUAUCUGGUUAAAUAAAACCAUAAAUUAUACUCUAUUAACUUACAUUCUAAACCUUAUUGCACAAGAUUAAUAUAUUAAACUUGUUUCAUUUCUCAAUCUUGGAUUCAUAUUCAUUUAUCGAAUAUUUAUAUAGCACAUACUGCUUUAAUCAACAGCUAUCCCUUUGUGACUACGAAAGUCGGGAUUUAAAAUCUUGACCAAAAUAAAAGUUGAAAAUAGUUCAUUACUUAUCACACACAUUACAUAAACACAACAUAACCCAUACCACUUAUUUAACAAGCCUUUUUCUCGGACAUUCAUUCGAUCGAUGUCCUUCCAUCCCACAAUUAAAACAUCCACCUUUCUUAUAGUCGGGGCAAUGAGGAGAUGUAUGUCCCUCACGGCCGCAAAUAUAACAUAUCUUCUUCCCUAUCUUCUUAUCAGGUUUUCCUAAGUCAGGAUCUUCUACCUUUCUUUUUUCCUUACCUCUCGGCUGCACACGAUGUGUUGCUUGAGGCUCCCAUCUGGUCAAUUUGGAUUUUGAGCUUAUCACGCUCUUCCAUUGUUUCUAGCAACGCUUGACGCAGCUGAAUAUUAAGCAACGUCUCUAUCUCCCACAGCCUUUCCAGCGUAGAAACCUUGUUCUCCAGAUCUUGCACCUCCGUUGAUGCUUGAGCAGCUUCAACUUUAGUGUCUGAAUCACUAUCUGUCAAAUCCACCAUUUCUGGAUCUGAUGCUACGUUUUCCACUAUAGCCACCUCGUCUGAUUUGGGUUCCUGGUGAGCUUCUAUUUCAGCUGUUGGCCUUGAUAUUAGCUCGGGGGUAUAGAUCUGAUCCUUCUUAUUCCACAUAUCUUUCUCACCAGACAUCAACAUACAUAAGUUACCCUGAUUAGCAUAUAGUAUAUAUACAUAGCAAUCAAGAGUUCUAUA
rnacentral:lncRNA from 1 species